rnacentral:rRNA from 1 species
AGAGUUUGAUCAUGGCUCAGAGCGAACGCUGGCGGCAGGCCUAACACAUGCAAGUCGAGCGCCGUAGCAAUACGGAGCGGCAGACGGGUGAGUAACGCGUGGGAACGUGCCCUUCGGUUCGGAAUAACUCAGGGAAACUUGAGCUAAUACCGGAUACGUCCGAGAGGAGAAAGAUUUAUCGCCGAAGGAUCGGCCCGCGUAAGAUUAGCUAGUUGGUGAGGUAAUGGCUCACCAAGGCUCUGAUCUUUAGCUGGUCUGAGAGGACGAUCAGCCACACUGGGACUGAGACACGGCCCAGACUCCUACGGGAGGCAGCAGUGGGGAAUAUUGGACAAUGGGCGCAAGCCUGAUCCAGCCAUGCCGCGUGAGUGAUGAAGGCCUUAGGGUUGUAAAGCUCUUUUGGCAGGGACGAUAAUGACUGUACCUGCAGAAUAAGCCCCGGCCAACUUCGUGCCAGCAGCCGCGGUAAUACGAAGGGGGCUAGCGUUGCUCGGAAUCACUGGGCGUAAAGCGCACGUAGGCGGGUCGUUAAGUCGGGGGGUGAAAUCCUGGAGCUCAACUCCAGAACUGCCUUCGAUACUGGCGAUCUUGGAGUCCGGGAGAGGUGGGUGGAACUGCGAGUGUAGAGGUGAAAUUCGUAGAUAUUCGCAAGAACACCAGUGGCGAAGGCGGCUCACUGGCCCGGUACUGACGCUGAGGUGCGAAAGCGUGGGGAGCAAACAGGAUUAGAUACCCUAGUAGUCC